AAAAAAUUGAGCUAUAAUAGCAUUUUUGGUGGAAACACCGCAACAAAUCCAGGAACUACCGGCGUUUUUUUAAAAAAGCUGUAAAAGGCCAUUAUUUUUUAUAAAAAAAUGCAAAAUCCCGCUCACUUCCACAAAUUAUUUUUUCGUUACCCGCUCGUUAACCAAAUCCCCAAAUAAAUGGUUUUGAAGAAACAAAUGGAAGUUGAAGAGAAGGAGAACGAGGAAGAAGAAGAAGAAGAGGAAGAGAAAAGGGGGGAGGAGGAAGAAUAAGAGAGUGAAGAUGAAGGGACUAAAAAGGUCAAAGGUAGUAGUAGAAAGGGGAGUUCUAGGAAAUCUGGUCGAGAUUCGGCUGAGAAGAAAGAGACAGUGACGCCUAGUAGUGAUAGGCCUACAAGGGAAAGGAAAGUUGUAGAAAGGACGGGCAUAGCUCUGAAGAUUCAAAGCAAAGCACUCCUGAUAUGACUGUUUUUGUGCAAAGUCUUCUUCAACAAAUGCUUAUUAAGAGAGUAAGAUGGCAUCCACUUUCACAGCCAUGUCAUAAGUUGGCUCAUUCGUUGCACCUAAUGGUCUGGUCAUGGAUAAGAAGCUUUCAUCUCCUUCCAACAGAUUGUCAUCUUUAGCAUCCAUUUCUUCUUUUUCAUUUCUUAGUAGACGAAAUGUUGUUCUUAGAAGAUCUCGUCUGCCCAAGAUUUCUGCAGCAAAAGAGCUACAUUUCAAUAAGGAUGGGUCAGCCAUAAAGAAAUUACAAGUGUGUCUUUGUUUCAAAUGCUAAAAAGGUGCAUAGAUGUUGGAUACUACAAGAUCCUGCCUAUGGCUAUGGCUACUUGUUUUGGGACUAUUGUUGUUCAUAACAAAGGGGGCUUAUAUGAUUGACAUGAAUUAUUUUUGGAAACUGAAAUAAUGAAUAGAUUGAGCAUAUUCAUUAUUGAUAAUGAUGUUGCACUGCUGAUAUGGUGGCUACUUCAGCAAUAAAUUGACUCUUUUCUUGGUGAGAUGCUACUGAAAGUUGCUUGACAGCCACCACCCUCCCUUUGAUAAUGUACCCUACAAGAUUUCCAUCUGGGCUUUUAUCUUCCCCUGUUUUUAUUUUGUGGGUUUUGCAGACAAGCCAUGGAUUUGAAAAUUUCAGCUAUUUGCAUGACUUGGUAAUCUGAAGCUUUAUUGGGUUUCUUUAUGGCGAUUUUAGUUCUUUUGGUUGGUGGGUUCAAUUCAGAUUUGGUGGUUAAAUAUAUUUUGUUCUUAAAUUUUAGUUGAUAUAUUACUUGUAUCUUAUAUUUCAAAGAUUGUAAGUCAAAAUUCCAAUUUUUUUUGUGGUCAUUUUUAAAGAAUUGGCUUCUCAUAUUGAGGAUCUGAUUGAUAGACUUGUGCUCUUGUGUUUUAAUUACUCUUAAUGAUUACUUACAAUGCAUUAUUGUAGGAAUAAAUGUAAUAUUGAACCAGCUAAACUCCUCUGAUUCAAUUUUCAGAGUAGUGAUGCAGUGCUCUCUCAGGUCUAGACCUGUUUGAGCACUGUGAUUGAGGAGCAUUACAAAUCGUUGUAUGCCUAAUGUUUGUUUCAUUUAUUUCUUACUUGUCUACUUGAAACUUUUUUUCUUCGCAUCAAUUCUUAGCUUCAGUUUUUUUCUAUAUUUUUUGUUUUCUGUUUGAACUUUGAAAGAUUUUGAUGUAGUUUAUCGAAGAGUUCGAUUUAUUGACUUUUCUUGAUCUGUUUAUUCUUUCUGCUGAACCGAUGUGUUGGAAAUUUUGGGUACUUAAGAGAUUUAGGCAUUUAGCAGACAUUUUACUUAUCUAACUUGUGUGGUAAUUAGGUGACAAGAUUGAAAAAUUAGUUAGGUAGUUAUUGGGUUUCGGCAUUAUGAAAUAUUACUAGGUUCAAGUAUCAGUACCCAAAAUUGUGGUUAUCCUGCCCUUGCCAGUUCUUGGUUCAUCUGUAAGAGGCUGCUUGUGGUAGUAGUAGAGUCAUAUAUCUUUCUGUUUAUAUUUGAAUAUAGCCAUGAGUCAACUGAGUGCCAUAUCUAAUAGAUGUGCUUUGGGAGCCUUAGUUUGCUUCAGUGUUGGCAUUUUCUUGAAUUAUAUCAAAUUAAUUGAAUGAGCUCUUUGUGAUGUUUCUCUCUAAAAUUUUUAUGACAUAACAAGUUUAUUCUAAAGAAUCUUGGGUGGCAAAUGGAAUAGGAAAAACCAACUACACUAGAUUGCGGUCUAAGAACAAUUUGCAGAAGGCACAUAAUAACUGACUCCUACCUCUACGAAUGUACGAAUGCUUGUGGGAGGCAUUGUAGCAGCGAAUAAGAAUAGGAUUGAUCAACAUGCAGUUGACACCGUAUAUGGUCUGAAUCUGAAUUCAGGUGUGAGUUUCAGAUAUUUUAUGUGCAAAAAAGUAUUAGGGUGCAAAACUAUACCCAGUUUUGUAAACGUCUACUUACAUAUUUGCAUAUACUUAAUAAUAAUCUCGUGUCAACUAA